AGUUUUCAAUAGUUGUUGUAAGUCAGGGAGAUUUUUGGCAUGCAAAAAUAUUUGGGAGGCAUAACUCUACAAGGGCCAUAAUUUGAGGAAAAAAAACUAUUUGUCCUAAAAUAUAUAAUUUACAAUAGGGUUUAUACUAUUUUAGACCCUGUGAUUUUUCUUAUUACCUGUUUGAAUCAUGUAUUUUGGCAAAUUACUUUUUGGAUCUUGUAUUUUAUAAAAUGCUUUAAAUAGACCCCUAAACUCGAAUAUGGUCAAAGUUUUUUUUAACCAAAUUCCAAAUAAUUAACUAAACUAACGAACAAAAGUAAAAUUAUUUUGCCUAAUAAAUGUGUUGUCAUAUUCAAUUUUUUCUUCAUCGAAAUUAGAUUUAGGGGUCUAUUUGAACUAUUUUAUUAAAUACAAGGUCCAAAAAGUAACUUAUCAAAACAUAGGAUCCAAACAAGUAAUAGGACAAAACACAUAGUUCAAAAAGAUAUAAACAAUUUACAAUAUAUGUUUAUCUUCCCCUUUGUCAUGCUCACUUUCAUUUCCCUUUUAAAAACUAAAAUAAAUCUUGUAAUUUCAAUUAUACUAAACCAUAUACCUUUAUAACUUACUAAACCAUAAAAAAAUUAUGAAUGUUUUAUUUUUAACAAAAAGACUAAUGCUCAUUGAUAAAAAUUAUUGAUCACAUUAGUCAAAAUAUAAGGUAAGAUACAUUCUGUCAAGUAAACUCAUUAUUAGUUGUAAGUGCAAAUUUAGGCAGUUCAUGAGCAGCAUUGUUACAACAAUGCAAAACAUACACUAGAGUUGCACCUGGAAUAAGAAAUAAUGAGUUUCAAAAUUCUCUCAGCAUAAAAACUUACUGAGAAGAAUAUACAUACAAUAAUGUAUCAUCAACAAGCACCACUAAAGCAUAGUCUUCAAUACUUAAAUCAUCACCAUCCAAUUUGUACAAUAGACAACUCAAGCAAAUGUGAAUAUGAAAACAUCGGCAAAUAAAUAAAAAGAGAAUAAUCAGUAAUAUAGCAAAAUAAAUUGAUAACGAAUUUAAAAAAUAAAAACUAAAAACUACAUAUUGAAAGUGUCGAGAAAAAAAGUUAUAUAUAGAAUAAUAAUAGUAAAACAAGCAUAAAAAGAAAGAGGGAAAAUAAACUUAUCUCUGAGGAAGUCUUCAUAUGAAACUGGUUAUUUUCUAGAAUGGUAUAACAAUCUCAUAACGAAAAUAUGAAUAACUAGUUGAUAAAUAAAUAACGUGUAAAGAAUAACAGAUCAAUGAAUGAUCAAAGAAAUUUGACAUAUAGUCAAAACCAUAAAAUACAUAUUCAUAUAUAAACGUUUUUUUUUUAUUAUUGUGCUUUUGUUAAACAUAUUGUGUUGAGCAAAGAAAAUUUAGAUAAAUAAUUAUUUAACUUCAAAAGAACCAUCUUAAAAAACUACCAAGACAAAUUCAAACCAAAUGAAAAAACGUUGCCGAUAAUACAGUAACAAAAAAAAAAGUGGGAAGAUAUUAACAUAAAGGAAGAACAUGAGUAACCAUCAGCAUGGAUGAACUAAAACAUUUUGCUAUUGGAUAAGCACAGAAAUGUAGAGAAUACUACUAUAUAAUUCUAGAAUAAAAGAUUAAAAAAAUAGAGAUAUCCGACCAUUAAAGAAUGCAAACAAAAUAGAUCCAAUCACUUAGGGUAUGAUUGGUAUAGAAUUUGGAUAAAACUUUAUGAUUUAGAAAACUGAAAAUUUGUGGGCCCAUGAAAAUAAUUAAUUGUUAGCUAGUUUUUGAAAACCAUAUCCAAAUCUAUAUUUGGACUUUAUGUUGUAAAAUAGAAAACGAAUAAAUCUCGUUUUCUUCGUUUUGUGAAAUUUCUUCCUAAAACCCCUAAAAACAAAAUCCAUCUCUUCUCCCCUCCAUCAUUUGCGAAAGACAGAGCUUCUUCAUCUCUCUCCCAUCAAUGGUGAUUCGCUUCCCCUACUAACAACACCUAAUCCACUCCAACUCCACAUCUACCAUCAGCCACAUAAAAUGUUGAGUCAUGUGAUUGGAACCCAAAUAUUGACGUGGGAUUUAUAUUUCCAUCAUUUCUUCUCCGACACUGAAUUGACGAUUUUGGCGGUGAAGGGAGCGGCGAUGGUGGCUCUGUACCGUUACCAUAUUGGGGACUAAGCGCGGUAGGGAGAGCUUUAUUCUGGAGUUUAUUCUUUUUCUGCUUGAUCUAUUAUCCAGCAAACAAAAUUAAAAAAAGAAAAUACUGUUCUUUUUGGUUUAGAAUUGAUGAAGAAAAAAAAAAAAUUGUAAUUCUGUGAAUAUUUUUAAUUGUUCUGUCAUUCGUUAAUUGAAUUUUUUUUAUUGUUGAGAUUUUAUAAUGAUAAAGUUUGACUUUUUAUUUA